UCAUCCUGUCCUCACAGUGGCUGGUGUGGAGACCCACAGACUUCAUCCUUAGGACGGACCUUCAGGCACCCAGGCUGCCUACUGACCUCCCGGGCAUGGGUGGGAACCGGGAGCUCGUUGGUAAGCAGGAGGAUUCAGGACUAUCGACUGAACACCACCUCCUUUGUGGCACGCACCGUGCUGUGUCUUUGCAGUCAUCAUCUCAUCACCUCUGCACAGGAAGAUUAUCUCCCCCAUUUUGUGAUGGGGAAAUGGAGGCUCCACGUGGAAAGAUGCAACCUGGGCCAGAGGCCCCUGGAGGUUGUGCCUGAACCCAGACAGAUCACACAAACCUGAGCAGCCAUUAGCCGCUGUGUGGGCUCCUUUGCACUGUGGGGCUGCUCCUGGGGAUAUUUACGUUGUGAACUGGUAAAAUCUGAACUGCAGAAUAUCAAUUUCCAGACAUUCUUCCUAGAUGAUGCAGUCUGCCACAGAGACCAUGUAGAUGGAUUGAAUGGGGAUAUGAUGAGGAUGACCACCCCUGCAUUUGCUAAGUUCUUGGGAGUGGCAUCGAUCUCAGCCAUUCCACUGGAAUAGGGUUAGGAAACAAAACAUGAGGGGUCUACCAGCUGCUCAGUCUAUCCUUUCCAAUUGAGCACACUGGAACUGAGGAAGCAAAGACAGGGUGAGCCCUAACACCCUCAUCAUCACUGCUGAGCCUGCCUUGACAAGAACUCCAUUUAUCACCCGCCUCCAUAAUAGCCCAUUCUAACUAGCUGUCAUCAUGGCAUUUCAGGUUCUGCUGAUGUCAUUAUAAUGGACCUUAACUAGUGGGCUGAAGGCAAUGAGGGGAUGUGAGGAUGCAUCUUGUGAAGGACAAAAGUCAUCCU
rnacentral:lncRNA from 1 species